AUCCAGAUGACGAGUCUCAAAUGGGACGAAACAUGCUUCCUGUAU
rnacentral:hammerhead_ribozyme from 1 species